UCACUUUUUUCUUCAAAAAAGGCAGUUGUUACAUUUUUCCAUAUAAGAUGAGAGGGAAGAACAAUAAAACAAAUUCAAAAGAAGGCUCUAAAAGCAGGGGAAAAACCUCUCUGUUCUUAUUUAGGGUACUCAAGCUGUAAUUUGUCUUAAAAGCAGCUAGUUUAAAAAAAAAAAAAAAAACCAACACAUGCUAGAAAACCCCACACACAGAAAAAAGCAGCGUCCAGCUUUUUAAAAUUCUGCCUCUACACCUCCUUUCUCAAUGACAUCAGCUGGAGGCUCCCCACCUGCCCAGUUGCCAUAGCAGUUACACAAAGACAUACAAUGACAUCAGUUGGCAUGAUAUCAGCUCUUUGAGUGCAAACAAUACAAGAAGAACUACUUUGUUUAAGGCCUUUGGUGCAACUGUGUUCUGGGGAGCCAAUGAUGUAAUGCUAACAGGAACAGAUGGAUGCUAUGAUAUACUCCAUGGAAACAGAACAUCAGAGCCACUCAAGAUUCUAUAAGCACAAGAAUCUGUGGAAGAACAAAGCCUGGAUGAACUGGAGCUGAUGUCAGGCUGCCAAGGCUGAAAUCUUCUUCAAAGACAGGGUCAGAGUCACUUCAUAAGUUUCAGGGCAGAAUAUCACCUAUCUUAACAGGAGAAACAUGUGGGGUGGUGGUGGGUACCAGCUCGAUCCACAAAGAUUAUUUCUACUUCUUGUUUUCUAUGAAAUGUUCUUUAUACUCCAUAGAUGUGAUUGGGUAUUUUACAGUAGGAAUUGGGUAUUUUACAGUAGGGUAUUUUCAAGUUCAAGAUGAAAAUCAUUCCUACUGUAAAAUACCCAAGGAAGUAUUACUUAAAUUGUCUUAGGAUCUUGCCCCCAGGGAACUUGUAUUUCUUUCCCAAGAAGAGUAAAGGGAGGCCCUAUCAAACAGAGGCAGAGAGAGUUGAAUGGGAGUGCUGUCUCACUAGGUAUAAGGUAUGAAACAAGAGAUAAAGAAGUAUUUAUCUUACUCAGGGGAAGAAAGAGAUUUAGGAGGCUGACUAUGAGUCAGAGAGAAGUCUUCUUAUGAUCACGUCAUUUGACUGCUUCCCUCAAACCAGUGUGGUCUGGCUUACAUGUGAGAUGCCUUAUGUUUGAAAAGACAUAAACAAGGAAGUAUCACAAGCUUAAAAUACACACAUAUACAUAAAACUUCAGAUAUACUCAUAUAACAUAAUGGGAUCUUGAAUCCCAUUGAGUACCCAUCCACAUUAUUUGGCUUGCUAUAUUAUUAAGUCUUUUAGGAAGAUAUAUCUAAAAAUAAGUUAGUCCCUCCAUUCAUGGGUUUUUCCUGUGUGAAGGAGACACAGUUAUCUACAGAUAUAUCUUAAAAGCCAACUCUAGAAAAGACAGUGGAUGAUAUAUAAAGCAGCAAAAAAAAAAAAAAAAAAAAAAA
rnacentral:lncRNA from 1 species